rnacentral:rRNA from 1 species
GAUGAACGCUGGCGGCGUGCCUAAUACAUGCAAGUCGAGCGAACGGACGAGAAGCUUGCUUCUCUGAUGUUAGCGGCGGACGGGUGAGUAACCCGUGGAUAACCUACCUAUAAGACUGGGAUAACUUCGGGAAACCGGAGCUAAUACCGGAUAAUAUUUUGAACCGCAUGGUUCAAAAGUGAAAGACGGUCUUGCUGUCACUUAUAGAUGGAUCCGCGCUGCAUUAGCUAGUUGGUAAGGUAACGGCUUACCAAGGCAACGAUGCAUAGCCGACCUGAGAGGGUGAUCGGCCACACUGGAACUGAGACACGGUCCAGACUCCUACGGGAGGCAGCAGUAGGGAAUCUUCCGCAAUGGGCGAAAGCCUGACGGAGCAACGCCGCGUGAGUGAUGAAGGUCUUCGGAUCGUAAAACUCUGUUAUUAGGGAAGAACAUAUGUGGAAGUAACUGUGCACAUCAUGACGGUACCUAAUCAGAAAGCCACGGCUAACUACGUG